ensembl:lncRNA
CGAGAGCCUGGCACGUGCGGACGCUUCCUGGAAACCAAAUCCUUCAUUCAACAGAAAGGACUGAUUUCCCUGCUGCCCCCAGACAGGAUGAAAAAUUCUGCCUGGGCUGUGGGGACGGACGGGACUCCCACCCGCCCAGGCAUCUCCACAGCCUCGCCUGCUGCCCCUGUGAUGCCCCAGACACCCCGGGCCAGCAGGCCCACGCUGAGCGUCCAAGCCUCAGCCACUCGCUCUGGUCCCUCUCCAUGUCCAGACGCGUCCGUGACCUGGAGACACGACGCCUCUCCCAGGGCACCAGCCAGGCUCCAGAAGGAAGAGGCCCCCACGUCCCAGGUGGCUCAGCUGGUGAAGAAUCCGCCUGCAUUGCAAGAGACCAGGGUUCUGUUCUCGGGUCGGGAAGACUCCCCUGGAGAAAGGAACGGCUACUCUGUCCAGUAUUAGCGCUUCCCUCGCGGCUCAAAGGAGACAAGCACAAGAAAAGCCAGACUGGAAGUCAUCACGGGAGGGAAGAGAGUUUUGAGCUGAAGAAAACACUCUGACUUGAAUUCUCUUCUUUGUGGAGAACUGACAGCCGCCUCUGUGUGGAUCAGACCCAGAAAGCUGCUGCGUGCCGGCGGGUGGAACAGCCACGCCUGUGCCCGCAGAGAAGGGGGCGCAGGCUGACUGCGUCGGGCUCUUACAGGCACUGGAGCCAAAUUAGGACUUAUCAGCACGUUCAUUAUCUAAAAAUAAACCAGCUUUUCUUUGCUUCAUCAAAAGAUCAGAUUAUAGAGUACACCGCCUUACUUGCAGAAUAAAGUGUUUUUAUUCUUAGACAGUG